rnacentral:rRNA from 1 species
UGGGGAAUAUUGCACAAUGGGCGCAAGCCUGAUGCAGCAACGCCGCGUGAACGAUGAAGGUCUUCGGCUCGUAAAGUUCUGUUGCAGGGGAAGAUAAUGACGGUACCCUGUGAGGAAGCCCCGGCUAACUACGUGCCAGCAGCCGCGGUAAUACGUAGGGGGCUAGCGUUAUCCGGAUUUACUGGGCGUAAAGGGUGCGUAGGUGGUCUUUCAAGUCGGUGGUUAAAGGCUACGGCUCAACCGUAGUUAGCCUCCGAAACUGGAAGACUUGAGUGCAGGAGAGGAAAGUGGAAUUCCCAGUGUAGCGGUGAAAUGCGUAGAUAUUGGGAGGAACACCAGUAGCGAAGGCGGCUUUCUGGACUGCAACUGACACUGAGGCGCGAAAGCGUGGGGAGCAAACAGG